GAACUGUAUAUAGACAACACGGAGAGAAAAAAUGCGGUUUAUAUACGGUUUCCGAAAUGGGAUGCCAAAUGGCGCAGUCCCGUUGCACACCUUUUCUGUCUAAUCGCCCUGCGGUCUACUCCCGAACGCGAGAACUUGUGUGCGUAUACAGUACUCGUCGAAUCGUGAAAUACGUUUGUAACGGAGCGGCACUGGCGGUGAUUAUUAUAAUCAUUAUUAUUUUCGUCUCUCAAUUGUAUGAACGCUUUCUUAUUACAUUCGACUCUACGUCCAACUAUGGCGCCGGUGCCUAAUGUCGAAUUUACGAGGAUAUAACCACAUCGCCCCAACUAUACAGUUACUUUCUGUGUACGCAAGUUCAACUAAAAAAGAAUGGAAAAUAAAAAAAAAAUGGGGAAAUAUAGAGGCAUUGAAAAAGCAACAAUGGAAACACCAAGAUUGCAACAUUACUGGAACGCUAUCGUUUUUUGGUAAAGACCUUUAUAGCAAAUAUGCAAGAGUUGGUGUUUCACGUUUUUUUUUUUUUUUUUGUUAUUUACUUUCCCAA